AGACGGAGACCGAGGGAGGCCGGCCGGGCGGGCCUGACGCACGGGGAAGGCCGAGGCCGCCGGGCGGGGCGGCCGCGAGGGACGAAGGCAGAAAGACGGGCAGAGCGAGAGAAAGAAAGAAAGGGCGUCCGCCGCUUGGGGAUCCCGAGGCGAAGCGCGGCGGCGGCGGCGGCGGCGGCGGCUGAGGAGACAGAUCCCGGUCCCGCCGACCCGCGAGCGGCGUCUCCGGCAGCGGGGGGAGUGGGCGGGCGGGUGAGGAAGGGAGAAGAAGAGAGGGAGAGAAGGGAGGGAGGGAGCAGGGGGCGCCCGGCUCUUUUUUUUUCCCUCUUCCUCCCCCCCACACCCCCUGAAAGAGAUUUCUGUGAGGAAUUUUUCUCUUUCUUCGGCCUCUUCUCUCUCCUCCCCCCCUUCUCUCCUCGGCGAAGGGGAAAUGAGUGUGAAGGGAGGAGAUAGGGGGAAAAAGAGGCGUCGUCGUUCCUCCUCCUUAAAGGAACCUUUUCUCCUCCUCCUCCUCAGCCCUGUCGCCGCUGCUUCUGCUGCUGCUCCGUGGCAGGAGGAGCCAUUGACACCGCCGGAGCCUCCACUCGCCCACUUCCCCCUCUACCCCAGCCUUCACCCAAUUUUGUUGAGCUGAAAAAAAAGUGGAACGAGGGAGCCAAUCUUUGGUCCCACAAACUACAAGGAAAAGAAAAACCCUCAAGAGGAAUUACCUUUAUACCUGAUGCCCCCAACAUAAUCUCUCUCCAAGGGAAACUUGUUUUUAUUCCCUCGCUUCUGUUACGAUGACUGAAAAUGUACUCUUUCUCGAUUCUCCCCCUUCGCUCUUUUGUUUUGCAUUUUUUUGGAUGUGGUAAAACUGUCAGUUUAUCUGAUUCUCUGGUUUUCAGAACUUUGGGCAAUGUCUCUGGUUUGAGUGUCAUCAGUUGCUGUCUAGGUUUGACAUCGAUAAUUAAGCAACUACAAAGCGUGAUAAAGCUUUUGAGAGGGAGGAAAGUGUAUUUUGGAAGGAGGAAGAGACGCAAAGAGGCGAGCCUGUAUCUUGUAGUGUGUUGAGUCCCAGACUUGGUGUGUGACUACAGGCAAAAUACUUCACCUUUCUAGAUGUCACCCCCCCCACCUCCCGAGUUUAAAUAAGAACUUAUUUUAGACGGCAUGAUCUUGUUUUCAGUUUUUAAGAAUUCUGUGAUUUUGAGAUGAUCUCUCCAUAGUCCAGAAAAAAUAGGGAAACGUAGAUCUAUGUUUCUCAAAAAAAUAUUUUGAGGAUGACAGCUGUUACAAAACAGCUGGAGAACUCCAAAUUUUUAUGGUUGUUAGCUAGGUGCAAAUGGGUACAAUUUUAGGUUUGUUCAAAUAAACAUAGGGGAAAAGUAAAAGUACAGGAAAAUUACAUUAUACUAUAAGUGUGUCCAUCAUUUCUGAUUUUUCUAAAAAUUUCCUUUUUUAUUUAACAAGUACUUAUUGGCUCCUUCUGUGUGUGCAUUAAUAUGUAUGUAAGGUGUUAUGGGAAAUACUAAUAAAAGGAAAAUAUUGGGCAUAAA